rnacentral:rRNA from 1 species
GACGAACGCUGGCGGCGUGCUUAACACAUGCAAGUCGAACGGAAAGUCCCUGCUUUUGUGUGGUGCUCGAGUGGCGAACGGGUGAGUAACACGUGAGUAACCUGCCCUUGACUUUGGGAUAACUUCAGGAAACUGGGGCUAAUACCGGAUAUGAGCUCCUGCUGCAUGGUGGGGGUUGGAAAGUUUGGGCGGUUGGGGAUGGACUCUCGGCUUAUCAGCUUGUUGGUGGGUUAGUGGCUUACCAAGGCAUUGACGGGUAGCCGGCCCGAGAGGGUGACCGGCCACAUUGGGACUGAGAUACGGCCCAGACUCCUACGGGAGGCAGCAGUGGGGAAUAUUGCACAAUGGGCGGAAGCCUGAUGCAGCAACGCCGCGUGCGGGAUGACGGCCUGCGGGUUGUAAACCGCGUCCGCAUGUGACGAAGCGUGAGUGACGGUAAUGGGUAAAGAAGCACCGGCUAACUACGUG